CCCUUAGAUGUCCUGGGCUGCACGCGUGCUACACUGAUGUGUCCAGUAAGCACCUAACCUCUUCCGAAAGGAACGGGUAACCUUUGCAAAGCACAUCGUGAUGGGGAUAGAUUAUUGCAAUUAUUAGUCUUGAACGAGGAAUUCCUAGUAAGCACAAGUCAUCAGCUUGUGUUGAUUACGUCCCUGCCCUUUGUACACACCGCCCGUCGCUCCUACCGAUUGAGUGGUCCGGUGAGGCUUUGGGAUCUGAGCGGAAAGAGCGUUUCGCUGUUUCUGCUCGGAAAACUCAGUCGAACCUUAUCAUUUAGAGGAAGGAGAAGUCGUAACA
rnacentral:rRNA from 1 species